rnacentral:misc_RNA from 1 species
AAGAUAUAUCCAGAUUUUGUUUUUCAAUUUCAAUAACUUCAGGAGAUACUUCAUUCAAGGUUUCUAUUACUCAUUGCAUGCUGCAUUUUUAGUUAAGCAGUUGCAGGAUGAUGAAGACCAAUCCCUCGAUUUGGCGAACAUUAUUAAUUUCUCAUCAGUUUGAGAGAACAAUAAUAAUAAUAAGAAGACGAAGAAGAAGAAG